rnacentral:rRNA from 1 species
CCUACGGGUGGCAGCAGUGGGGGAUAUUGCACAAUGGGGGGAACCCUGAUGCAGCGACGCCGCGUGGGUGAAGAAGCGCCUCGGCGCGUAAAGCCCUGUCAGCAGGGAAGAAAAUGACGGUACCUGAAGAAGAAGCCCCGGCUAACUACGUGCCAGCAGCCGCGGUAAUACGUAGGGGGCAAGCGUUAUCCGGAUUUACUGGGUGUAAAGGGGGCGCAGACGGCGAUGCAAGCCAGGAGUGAAAGCCCGGGGCCCAACCCCGGGACUUCUCGUGGCACUGCGGUGCGGGAGUGCAGGGGGGGGAAGGCGAAAUCCCGGGGGUGCGGUGAAAUGCGUAGAUAUCAGGAGGAACACCGGUGGCGAAGGCGGCCUGCUGGACUGCAACUGACGUUGAGGCCCGAAAGCGUGGGGAGCAAACAGGAUUAGAUACCCCUGUAGUC